rnacentral:rRNA from 1 species
GAAAGAGCUUGCUCUUUUGGUGGCGAGUGGCGAACGGGUGAGUAAUACAGUGGAACGUACCGAGUAAUGGGGGAUAACUGUCCGAAAGGAUGGCUAAUACCGCAUACGCUCUGAGGAGGAAAGCGGGGGACCUUCGGGCCUCGCGUUAUUCGAGCGGCCAAUGUUUGAUUAGCUAGUUGGUGGGGUAAAGGCCUACCAAGGCGACGAUCAGUAGUGGGU